rnacentral:rRNA from 1 species
AGAGUUUGAUCAUGGCUCAGAGCGAACGCUGGCGGCGUGCUUAACACAUGCAAGUCGAGUGCGCGCCGUCCUGUAGCAAUACAGGGCGGUGGCGCACGGCGCACGGGUGCGUAACACGUGGGUAAUCUACCCUCGAGUGGGGAAUAACCCGCCGAAAGGGGGCUAAUACCGCAUGAAAUUCCUCGGACUUCGGACUGGGGAAUCAAAGCCCGCAAGGGCGCUUGAGGAGGAGCCCGCGGCCGAUUAGCUAGUUGGCGGGGUAACGGCCCACCAAGGCAAUGAUCGGUAGCUGGUCUGAGAGGACGGCCGGCCACACUGGAACUGAGACACGGUCCAGACUCCUACGGGAGGCAGCAGUGGGGAAUCUUGCGCAAUGGGCGAAAGCCUGACGCAGCGACGCCGCGUGGGGGACGAAGCCCUUCGGGGUGUAAACCCCUUUCGACCCGGACGAAGUCCGCAAGGAUCGACGGUACGGGAUGAAGAAGCCCCGGCUAACUACGUGCCAGCAGCCGCGGUAAGACGUAGGGGGCCAGCGUUGCUCGGAAUGACUGGGCGUAAAGAGUCUGUAGGCGGUGCGGCAAGUCGGGAGUGAAAUCUCAGGGCUUAACUCUGAGUCUGCUUUCGAAACUGCCGUGCUCGAGUGUGGGAGAGGUGAGUGGAAUUGCAGGUGUAGCGGUGAAAUGCGUAGAUAUCUGCAGGAACACCAGAGGCGAAGGCGGCUCACUGGACCACAACUGACGCCGAGAGACGAAAGCUAGGGGAGCAAACAGGAUUAGAUACCCCAGUAGUCC